GUUGACUUAAACACCCUGAAGGCACCUGAUCCUAUCUGAUAUUGGAAGUUAAGCAAGGUCAACCUCAGUUUAUACUUGGAUGUGAAUCCAUGUGCUGUAAUCUGUAUUUCAGAGGAAGGCAAUG
rnacentral:rRNA from 11 species